AUCUGGGGUGACGAGAUCUGGGACGUGAGUCACCAAAAUAGAUUUAACAGUCCUGGUGGGUAACUUCUAACAGAGCCAUUCCUGUGAUUAACGUUAAUAACCAUAGGUGAAGUCUAAUUCCUAUCUCCCCUGUAAUCAGGACUGGCCUAAGUAACUUGCUUGAACAACUGAAUGCAGUAGAAGUGACAUUUUGAGGCUUCUGAGGCUAGAUCAUCACAAGCAGACUUACAGACCCCGCUGCUUCAGUCUCUUGGAGAACUCACUCUUGGAGUUCUGAGCUGUCUUGUAAGUAAGAGGUCAAUUACACUGAGACUUCCCUGCUGGAAGGACCCACAGGGAGAGAGCAUGGAGAGAGUGAUGCUGGCCACCCGCUAGCCGUUCCAGCCCUCUGAGGCAGAUAUGUGAGUGAGGACAAGGUCUUGGAGGACAUGGCAGUCCCAGCAGAUAUCUCGUGAAGAAGAACCAAAGGAGCCAGCCAACGGCUUUACUGAGGCCCCAGAUAUAUAUGACCCCUGUUGUGCUGGCUCAGACAGCUCCAGCUGCUCCAAUCACCCCAGCCGAGGCUCCAGGAUUUUGUGAAGCAAGAAUAAUCUUACAUCCCUGCUGUGCCCUGCCAGAACUAGUGACCCACAAAACUGUGAGCACAGUAUGUGAUUAUCGUUUCACAGCAAUAAACAACCAAACACCUGGUAACCUCCUAGCUGGGUGAGCCCUGAUAGACUCUGUCCCUCUGCCAAAGACUCUUCAAGACAGCCUCUCCAUAGAACCACUCUCGCUUUACAGCCUGCAGGAGGGAAUGACUCCCCGCCAUCAUGCACUGUACUAUCUUUUGUUAUGGGCUUUUGAAAAUCUUGUCCACCUUUCAAAGUAAAGUCCCCUAACUAAAUUCUCCUGAAUCAC